rnacentral:rRNA from 1 species
GACGAACGCUGGCGGCGUGCUUAACACAUGCAAGUCGAACGGAAAGGCCCUGCUUUUGUGGGGUGCUCGAGUGGCGAACGGGUGAGUAACAAGUGAGUAACCUGCCCUUGACUUUGGGAUAACUUCAGGAAACUGGGGCUAAUACCGGAUAGAAGCUCCUGCUGCAUGGUGGGGGUUGGAAAGUUUCGGCGGUUGGGGAUGGACUCGCGGCUUAUCAGCUUGUUGGUGGGGUAGUGGCUUACCAAGGCUUUGACGGGUAGCCGGCCUGAGAGGGUGACCGGCCACAUUGGGACUGAGAUACGGCCCAGACUCCUACGGGAGGCAGCAGUGGGGAAUAUUGCACAAUGGGCGGAAGCCUGAUGCAGCAACGCCGCGGGCGGGAUGACGGCCUUCGGUUUGUAAACCGCUUUCGCCUGUGACGAAGCGUGAGUGACGGUAAUGGGUAAAGAAGCACCGGCUAACUACGUG